GGAGAGAUGGCAGAGUGGUCGAAUGCACCGGUCUUGAAAACCGGCAUAGGUUUGUAGCCUAUCUAGGGUUCAAAUCCCUAUCUCUCCACCA
rnacentral:tRNA from 55 species